AUUGAACGCUGGCGGCAUGCCUUACACAUGCAAGUCGAACGGUAACGCGGGGCAACCUGGCGACGAGUGGCGAACGGGUGAGUAAUGUAUCGGAACGUGCCCAGUUGUGGGGAUAACUGCUCGAAAGAGCAGCUAAUACCGCAUACGACCUGAGGGUGAAAGCGGGGGAUCCCAAGACCUCGCGCAAUUGGAGCGGCCGAUAUCAGAUUAGGUAGUUUGGGAGGUAAAGGCUCACCAAGCCGACGAUCUGUAGCUAGUCUGAGAGGACGACCAGCCACACUGGGACUGAGACACGGCCCAGACUCCUACGGGAGGCAGCAGUGGGGAAUUUUGGACAAUGGACGCAAGUCUGAUCCAGCCAUGCCGCGUGCGGGAAGAAGGCCUUCGGGUUGUAAACCGCUUUUGUCAGGGAAGAAACGCUCUGGGUUAAUACCCCGGGGUAAUGACGGUACCUGAAGAAUAAGCACCGGCUAACUACGUGCCAGCAGCCGCAGUAACAC
rnacentral:rRNA from 1 species